rnacentral:rRNA from 1 species
AUCUACAGCCAUGCUACCCUUUACAAGACCGAUCCUGUUUGAUCUUGGAAGCUAAGCAGGGUCGGGUCUGAUUAGUACUUGGAUGGGAGACCACCUAGGAAGACCAGGUGCUGUAGGCA